rnacentral:lncRNA from 1 species
AUGACCCUAAGAAAAGAUCUCACUAUACUUAUCCUAUCCCAUUCUGUGUUGCUCACACCUCGAGAACAUAUAUCUCCUCUCAUCGCCCAUCAAGCUCAAUAGACAGAUCACUCAACUCAUGUCUAACUGGUAAGUCACAAUAGAUCCUAAGUCUACGGGAUAAUCCUUUAUCUCCACAUCACUUCUCCCAACCUACGUGGAUAAUGGGUCUCCACCUAACAGAAGUGAUAGAAGUGCCUCUCUCAUACUCCACCUGAUCGGGUCUCUUUCCAGAUAAA